AAUAAGUGAAUAUUCCACAAAAUUUGGUAUUUUAAAUGUGUUCUUAACUGUUCUUUACAAAAAAGAACAGUUAUCAAUACUCCAUGAUUUUUAAAAACCUGAAUUAAACUAGAAACACUUUACAAUUACAGGAAAUUAAUCAUCCUGUAAAAAUGUAAAUGUAAUUUAUGUUUUUAUCGUCCAAUACUACCUGAAUCUGUAUAAUAAACUUAAUAUAAACACACCGUAAGAGUGCAGAUGUGAAUAAUGCUGUUGGGACUUAAACACGGCUGUAGAGCAUGUCCAUAGGAGCAAACAAGUCAAAGGAACCAUACCUCUGAAUGUGGCAUUACAGAUGUUAUUUGUAAUAGUUAAUGUUGUGUUUUAUAUAGUAACACUAAAGAAGGACGGUAAAUUAAACUUCGAUCCGAAAUGCGCGUGUCUUGUUAUUUUGUAAAGGAAAAGAUAAUUUGAUCAGUCCGGUAAAUUCUUUUUGAAUAAUCAUAAAACCUCACAAGCACAUCAGAUUUGACUUCUAGAAAGUAUAACACAUUAAUAAAUUACCUUUUAAUUGCUGACAAACCAAGUUUAAAGUAUCGAUAGUAGACUGUAAAAUACUUUCCACGCUACUCCUCAUGGGCG